rnacentral:rRNA from 1 species
UACGGAGGGGGCUAGCGUUAAUCGGAAUUACUGGGCGUAAAGCGCGCGUAGGUGGUUCAGCAAGUUGAAGGUGAAAUCCCCGGGCUUAACCUGGGAACUGCAUUUGUGACUGCAUGGCUAGAGUACGGCAGAGGGGGAUGGAAUUCCGCGUGUAGCAGUGAAAUGCGUAGAUAUGCGGAGGAACACCGAUGGCGAAGGCAACCGCCUGGGCCUGUACUGACGCUGAGACACGAAAGCGUGGGGAGCAAACAGG